UUCAAAAAUCAUUACGCUGGUGUUUUUCCUGCGUUUGGCGCAAGGGACGUGGCUGUCACAUUUCCUCCUGUGCUAUUUAAAUUCAGAUGGGUAUGGAUUGAUAGAUUAUUGAGAUGAUGAAGCCAUUCAUUAGGGUGGACGUUGAUGUCAGCGCAUAGGGAGAUCAAGGAGGCCGAGAGGUGGAACGUUAACACCCUGAUGUAGCGACAAACGUGAAGUUGUAUAGCAGGGACCCGGGAUCUUAACUGCAUAAACAUCUCAUCACAUAAUGUUCUAGAAGUCUCUAGAACCAAAGCAUCAACCUGUUGCUUGGUUAACAAUCUCAAACUGCAUCUUGGUUGUCAGGGCAACAGCAUCAUUCUAGGACAUGACAUAUGAUGACCCUUUACACAUCUCUGAGGCAUCCGACCAGCGAAUCCUCACCUCCUCCCUGUCAGGAACGGACAUGUGUCUUUCAACAUGGCAGCAGAGAAAUUCUCCACCGUGGAGUUAAUCACUCUCCUCUCAAUGAGCCACAGCCAGGUGCCAGAAAAUGGGUCUGAAUGCAAGCUAUUAUUUUAUAGUUGCUGAACUAGAGAUGCUGUCAGUGCCGCAUAGAAAACGCAGACUCUCAUUCGAGGACUGAAUACAGAAGACAUUCCAGCUUUCUGUUUGUGAAGGAGAUUUGCUCCAGUGGGCUUUUGAUCUGUGAUUUUGUGCACAUGUCAGAAUUAAUUGUGAUCAGA